GACGAACGCUGGCGGCGUGCUUAACACAUGCAAGUCGAACGGAAAGGCCCUGCUUUUGUGGGGUGCUCGAGUGGCGAACGGGUGAGUAACACGUGAGUAACCUGCCCUUGACUUUGGGAUAACUUCAGGAAACUGGGGCUAAUACCGGAUAGGAGCUCCUGCUGCAUGGUGGGGGUUGGACAGUUUCGGCGGUUGUGGAUGGACUCGCGGCUUAUCAGCUUGUUGGUGGGGUAGUGGCUUACCAAGGCUUUGACGGGUAGCCGGCCUGAGAGGGUGAACGGCCACAUUGGGACUGAGAUACGGACCAGACUGCUACGGGAGGCAGCAGUGGGGAAUAUUGCACAAUGGGCGGAAGCCUGAUGCAGCAACGCCGCGUGCGGGAUGACGGCCUUCGGGUUGUAAACCGCUUUCGCCUGUGACGAAGCGUGAGUGACGGUAAUGGGUAAAGAAGCACCGGCUAACUACGUG
rnacentral:rRNA from 1 species